AAGCUGAAAUAAAAACAAUUACCUUCAUAAGGAUGAUUUCCAUCGCACACAAACAAGUACUGUUGCAAAAAUUUAUCACCAAAACAAAUAAUAGUAAUAGGAUGUAUUUAAAGACAUUUUUCUCUCAGAACAAAAGACAGAACAGUGCUUAGAGAUAAUCAGAGAACACACAUCACAUCUGCUCCUAUCAGGUCAGACCUCACUCAGACAGGAAUUUAGGAAUAGAUCUGGUUUAGAAAAUAAAACGUUUUUUUUUCUCUUAAUAUAUUUUACAGCACUGUUUUGUUCCACAAAAUCCUGGAACACCUAAUGACAUCAAAAUCCUUCAAGUAUCAACAAGACCAGAUGGCCAAAGUGGAGAAAUUUUAAUCUAUGUCCUGGGAGAUUCCUAGAUUCUUAGAUGGGGAUGUGAAAUACUUUUAUGAGAUGUUAAGACCAUAGAACACUCUAUCUGGAUAGGAAAAUCAAUGCUUAACCAGGACUUAAACUAUAAAUGCUUCACUUAUUUUAAGCAGCAUGUAUAUAGAACACCGAAAGAAAGAAACAUGUAAGUAUGAAGCAGUAAAGACGUCUGUUAAAGCUCUGGAUUUAUUCAUAUAGCCCUGGAUUAAAAACCGAUAUUCUAGUUUUCAGAAAAGGUUCACAUUUUUUGAUUGCUGUCCUUGAUUUUCUUCUGUAAAAAUAGUUUUAAAACCUUUUAUUGUUGUUCUUUUGUUGUUUGUAGAUGUGGGUGAAGAGGGAGUUUCAGAAAACCUCUUGGAAAGAAUGCAUUGUCCUUCCAUAAAUGAAUGGAAAUUCUCCUUUUCAGUAACUUGAUUUUCUUUCCAUGGAAUACUCUUUGGAAACAUAGCAUCUCAUUUGGAAUAGCAGUGUGUGGUGGAAAUCUGUUUUCAGACUUCUGUCCAUCAUGUGUGCAUGGCUUAGCUUCAAGUCUGGAAGGAAAGCGCUCAUCGUGUCCUAAAAGAAAGGCUAGGCUGCUUUUAAGUCUCAAUUGACAGUCCAGAGGGCCAGGAGAAUGAAUGAAUAGAAAUAAGUAGCAGUGGGAGGUGGGGAACUUAGGGAACCACUAGAAAGUCCCAGAUGCCAGGGACAGGAGAGGCUCCCAUGGAACCUAAUGGGGAUGACAUUAGCUUUAAUAUCCAACAGCAGCAGGGAAAUUGAAUCUGAAGAAAUCACCUCAAGUAGAAAGAUAUAGCCCCAGUGGAGGGGGCCACACACCCAUCUAAAAUUUUUAACCCCACCUUGGGAUGAUUGAUUAAGAAAAAAUAAAGUAUCAAUUCUAGGUUGCCAGUCUCAUGCUUCUACUUGUAGUUACAGGUACAAAUGAUAAAUUUUCUGGCUCUACGUUCUAUGAGCAUCCUUCUAAUGAUAUUUCUUUGUGGCCAAGAAUUCGUUCUUAGGCAACAGAUAUUGCAUCAACUCCUAGUUUUCAAUAAUCUAUUCACUCUCUUUGAUUUAGAUUAUGAGUUCAAAAAUAAAUCUAUCACAAAUCUCACUAGGAAUAAAUGGAAAACGGUUGCAUGACGCAGUUGGUGUUCCUUGGUGAACAUGUCAGAUGGGGUGGGUCAACUCAUUGAGAAGGUCUGACCUUUCCUCUUUUAAAAAUAUCUGAGAGAAAAACAGCUCUGGAUGAAAUUCUGACUUCAAAAUAUCCUGCAUUAACAAUUUAGAUGUCUUGGGUAAAGGGAAUGGAAUGUUGGCGUGAAUCACCAAAACAUAUACUGCAAACCGUGGCAAAAUAUCCAAAGUCUAUUUUACACAUUGCUUGCAUAUGGACAUGUAGUAUUUUUUUAAGAGACAGUUUUAUGAAAUUCCCUACAUUAGAGGAAAUGUGUGUUUUUAUAAGUGACAAGUAAUAAGUCAUUCCGUGCAUAUAUUAUGAGAAAAAACACAAGAAACUAGAUACUACCGGAUGGUUUUCGAAAGUCUGUUUAAUCUGUAUAGAGCUGCAAUAAAUAGCCAGUGCA